GACGAACGCUGGCGGCGUGCCUAAUACAUGCAAGUCGAACGCUUCUUUCCUCCCGAGUGCUUGCACUCAAUUGGAAAGAGGAGUGGCGGACGGGUGAGUAACACGUGGGUAACCUACCCAUCAGAGGGGGAUAACACUUGGAAACAGGUGCUAAUACCGCAUAACAGUUUAUGCCGCAUGGCAUAAGAGUGAAAGGCGCUUUCGGGUGUCGCUGAUGGAUGGACCCGCGGUGCAUUAGCUAGUUGGUGAGGUAACGGCUCACCAAGGCCACGAUGCAUAGCCGACCUGAGAGGGUGAUCGGCCACACUGGGACUGAGACACGGCCCAGACUCCUACGGGAGGCAGCAGUAGGGAAUCUUCGGCAAAGGACGAAAGUCUGACCGAGCAACGCCGCGUGAGUGAAGAAGGUUUUCGGAUCGUAAAACUCUGUUGUUAGAGAAGAACAAGGACGUUAGUAACUGAACGUUCCCUGACGGUAUCUAACCAGAAAGCCACGGCUAACUACGUG
rnacentral:rRNA from 1 species